rnacentral:tRNA from 22 species
GGGCGUGUAGCUCAGGGGUAGAGCGCCUGCCUUACAAGCAGGAUGUCGGCGGUUCGAAACCGUCCAUGCCCA